rnacentral:rRNA from 1 species
GAAUGACCAGAGAACCAGUAACAAACUCAACGGGGACGGCGGGCUCGCCCAACGUCUCCAGACGCUUGGAUGGCACGGGUGCCUACGGGCGCUCGGGCUUCUCUCGGCGGCACAACGAACCCCGGCGCGGAAUGCGCCAAGGAACUUUAACAAGAGAGCGACGCUCCCGCCGCCCCAGACAUGGUGCGUGCGCGGGAUGCCAUGCAAUCUCCUAUUAUUCAUAACGACUCUCGGCAACGGAUAUCUCGGCUCUCGCAUCGAUGAAGAACGUAGCGAACUGCGAUACUUGGUGUGAAUUGCAGAAUCCCGUGAACCAUCGAGUCUUUGAACGCAAGUUGCGCCCGAAAGCUUCGGUUGAGGGCACGUUUGCCUGGGUGUCACACAUGGCGUUGCCCCUAACCCCUCGCCUUGAAUUGGGCGGGCGGGACCUGGGUGCGUACGUUGGCCUCCCGAGACGAACUUAUCCCGGUUGGCCCAAAAUCGAGCGUUGGAGCGAUUAGCACCACGACAUUCGGUGGUUGAUGAGACCCCAAUGAUCAAUGUCGCGGGCGUCGCUCAUGCACAUGCUCCACGAAUCUACCUUUCACCAACGCGACCCCAGGUCAAGCGGGGCUACCC